CUGCACUUUAGUAUGAAUUUAAACCCCACCAUGAAUUUAAACUCAUAAGUUAAAUCUGGUAAUAGAAUGAAGGAUUUUAUCUCCUGCUUGGGCUUCCACAUUGUGUAACCUUAGCAGACGGGUCCAACUUCCUGGUCCGGCCUGAUAGACUGGUCCAAGUUACUUACCCUCUCCAAGCCUUAGUUUCCUCAUCUUCAAAUAGGUGCUCUAAUGUUUUGCAAAGUUAUUUAAUGAGUUGACCUAAUGUGUUACAGAACACUUGCCUGACAUGUUGCAGAUGAUUAAUAAAUUGUCCCUCCCUUCCCUCAUGCCUGGGCUUCCCUGGUGGCCCAGGUUUGAUCCCUGGGUCAGGAAGAUCCCCUGGGGAAGGAGAUGGCAACCCAUUCCAGUUCUCUUGCCUGGAAAAUCCCAGGGACAGAGAAGCCUGGUAGGCUACAGUCCAUAGGGUCACAAAGAGUCUGGCACGACUUUGCGACUUCACUUUCCCUUUCCCUCAUGCCUGUUUCUAGAGAGAGUCAGAGGUUGUCUGGGAAUCAAGAGUCAUCUAAAAAUGGUCCUGAAAUCAUACUUAGGCACGAGUGGUGGCUUAUUUGCUCCUGGUUUACUCUCUACCCCAAACAUAGUGACAGACAUGAAACUGGAUAUAAUAAAGAUUUCAGUGCAGUCCUUUGAGUUCGAGUUGUAUUUCUGUAGAGUGGAGUUUUCUGCAGAGUCUGCUUCUGUGAGCAGGAGAUUAUGAAUUUAAUAAAUUCAGGGAGAUACUCUUCCAAACUUUUUCAAGCAGGACUCCUUACUGUAUUGAAUAAUACAAUCUUUUAAAAUAUUUAGUGCUUUUUCAUAUUAAAAAUGGAGAAAGCAAUGGCAACUCACUUCAGUACUCUUGCCUGGAAAAUCCCGUGGAUGGAGGAGUCUGGUAGGCUGCAGUCCAUGGGGUCGCUAAGAGUCGGGCACAACUGAGUGACUUCACUUUCACUUUUCACUUUCCUGCAUUGGAGAAGGAAAUGGCA
ensembl:lncRNA